UACGUAGGGUGCGAGCGUUAAUCGGAAUUACUGGGCGUAAAGCGUGCGCAGGCGGUUUUGUAAGCCAGAUGUGAAAGCCCCGGGCUUAACCUGGGAAUGGCAUUUGGGACUGCAAGGCUUGAGUGCGGCAGAGGAGACUGGAAUUCCUGGUGUAGCAGUGAAAUGCGUAGAUAUCAGGAGGAAUACCGAUGGCGAAGGCGGCUUCCUGGACCGACACUGACGCUGAGGCGCGAAAGCCAGGGGAGCAAACGGG
rnacentral:rRNA from 1 species